CCUACGGGUCGCACCAGUGGGGAAUAUUGGACAAUGGGCGAAAGCCUGAUCCAGCAAUGCCGCGUGUGUGAAGAAGGUCUUCGGAUUGUAAAGCACUUUCGACGGGGACGGUAAUGACGGUACCCGUAGAAGAAGCCCCGGCUAACUUCGUGCCAGCAGCCGCGGUAAUACGAAGGGGCUAGCGUUGCUCGGAAUGAUUGGGCGUAAAGGGCGCGUAGGCGGUUUAUGCAGUCAGAUGUGAAAUCCCCGGGCUUAACCUGGGAACUGCAUUUGAGACGCAUAGACUAGAGGUCGAGAGAGGGUUGUGGAAUUCCCAGUGUAGAGGUGAAAUUCGUAGGUAUUGGGAAGAACACCGGUGGCGAAGGCGGCAACCUGGCUCGAUACUGACGCUGAGGCGCGAAAGCGUGGGGAGCAAACAGGAUUAGAUACCCCCGUAGUC
rnacentral:rRNA from 1 species